UACGUAGGGUCCGAGCGUUGUCCGGAAUUAUUGGGCGUAAAGAGCUCGUAGGCGGUCUGUCGCGUCGGCUGUGAAACCCGGAGCUCAACUCCGGGCCUGCAGUCGAUACGGGCAAACUGGAGUACUGCAGGGGAGACUGGAAUUCCUGGUGUAGCGGUGAAAUGCGCAGACUAUCAGGAGGAACACCGGUGGCGAAGGCGGGUCUCUGGGCAGUAACUGACGCUGGAGGAGC
rnacentral:rRNA from 1 species